rnacentral:piRNA from 1 species
UGUUGACACACCUGCAGCCUU